rnacentral:tRNA from 1 species
GGGCCCAUAGCUCAGUGGCAGAGCAGCGGACUCAUAAUCCGUCGGUCGGAGGUUCAAACCCUCCUGGGCCCA